GACGAACGCUGGCGGCGUGCUUAACACAUGCAAGUCGAACGGAAAGGCCCUGCUGUUGUGGGGUGCUCGAGUGGCGAACGGGUGAGUAACACGUGAGUAACCUGCCCUUGACUAUGGGAUAACUUCAGGAAACUGGGGCUAAUACCGGAUAGGAGCUCCUGCUGCAUGGUGGGGGUUGGAAAGUUUCGGCGGUUGGGGAUGGACUCGCGGCUUAUCAGCUUGUUGGUGGGGUAGUGGCUUACCAAGGCUUGGACGGGUAGCCGGCCUGAUAGGGUGACCGGGCACAUUAGGACUGAGAUACGGCACAGACUGCUACGGGAGGCAGCAGUGGGGAAUAUUACACAGUGGGCGGAAGCCUGAUGCAGCAACGCCGCGUGCGGGAUGACGGCCUUCGAGUUGUAAACCGCUUUCGCCUGUGACGAAGCGUGAGUGACGGUAAUGGGUAAAGAAGCACCGGCUAACUACGUG
rnacentral:rRNA from 1 species